rnacentral:rRNA from 1 species
CACGUAGGGGACGAGCGUUGUCCGGAUUCAUUGGGCGUAAAGCGCGCGUAGGCGGCUCGGAAAGUCGGGCGUGAAAUGCCGGGGCUCAACCCCGGGACUGCGUCCGAUACUGGCUGGCUUGAAUUCGGGAGAGGGAUGCGGAAUUCCAGGUGUAGCGGUGAAAUGCGUAGAUAUCUGGAGGAACACCGGUGGCGAAGGCGGCAUCCUGGACCGAUAUUGACGCUGAUGCGCGAAAGCCAGGGGAGCAAACGGG